rnacentral:lncRNA from 1 species
GCGGUGGAGGGGAAGGGCCCUAGAGCCGUGGGGAGAGGCAGCCCGUGGCCUGGAGCAGUGGUUGGUGACCUUUGGAGUGGCGGUUGGGCGGUUGGGCGGUUGCAUGGGGCGGCCUGGGACUCGGGGGCGGGGUCAGUCAUAUAAGGCUGUGCCCAGCGCUUUUGGAAGCAGUAAGUCCAGCCCGAGGCUAAGGAGGUGUUAACCACCGAAGGGAGGUAGAAUGUUUUUCCCCACCAGAGGAGGCAGCGACCACGUCUCCUCUAUGGAGGCAUUCAAGAGCCGUCCAGCUGAAGCAGCAUCACUGUCUGAGCUCGGAAGGCACAAUCCACAUAGGUCUGCAUGGUCCACCGAGCUGCAUACCCACGGGGCCAGCGGGAGGUGGGCAGCUGCUGGGCUCUCUUCUGAAGCAGACAGGAUCUCACUCUGUUGCUGAGGCUGGAUCACAGCUCCCUGCAACCUUGAACUCUCCCUCAAGCAAUUCUCCCCACUCUGCCUUCCAAAGCACUAGCAUUAUAGGCCUAAGCCACCACUCCCAUCCACUGUAGUGUAAACUGUCUCCUUCAAUGUUUCCAAUAGUUGCGGAGCAGAUCAGAUAAGGGUUCUUCCUGUCUGUUGCUUCAAGUUUCAUUCUCUCUUUAAACAAUACAAGGUUGGCUUCCAUGGUUCCUUCUUAAAGAAUGUUGAAGGUGUGUCUUCAGAUUCAUUUAGUGUUCGUGGAACCCCAGGGAAAGCUGAUGUAAAAACCUCUUUUUUCUCCCAUAUGUCUCAAAAAGUUGUAUUUUCUGGGUCCAAGGGAUCUGCAAGCCUCCUAAAGGCAUUUCCAUUGUCACUACCACCAGGUGUGAACUGUAAUCUGGCACGUAUAGUUCCAAGAACUGUCAUAAUAGAUGCUGAAGAAACAUUGUGAAGUUAACUCGCUGUUACCAACUGUGAAGUCAUUAGCUAGAGGAAUCUUGGGCGGUCUGAAAUCUGAGAUACUGUGGAAAGAACAGAAAGAUCCUGUAUCUUUCCUAUAAUUGUUCUACUGGAAGUUGUCAUUUUACACAGGAGACAUUCUGUUUUAUUUAUUUUCUUUUGAGACAGGGUCUCACUCUGUCGCCCAGGCUGGAGUGCAGUGUUGUUACCACAGGUCACUGGUGCCUCCACUGCCUGAGGACUGCUCAAGCAAUCCUCCUGCCUCAGUCCCCUGAGGAGCUGGGGCCACAGGCCUGCACCACCAUGCCUGGCUAAUUAUUUUUAUUUGUAGAGACAAAGUCUAUCUUGCCUAGGCUGAUCUCGAACUCCUGGGCUCAAGUAAUCCUCCCGCGGUGGCUUCUCAAAGUGCUUGGGAUUACAGAUGGUCUUGCUCUGUCACCCAGUCUGGAAUGCAGUGGUGCCAUCAUAGCUCACUACAGCCUGAGCUGUACUGAGCUCGAGGGAUCUUCCCGUCUCCGCCUCCUAAGCAGCUGGGACUACAGGUACUUGCCCCCAGGCCCAGAUAAUUUAUUUAAAAACUUUUUUUGUAGAGACAGGGUCUCACUAUGUUGCCCAGGCUGGUCUCAAACUCCUGGCCUCAAACAAUCCUCUACCUCAACCCCCCUAAGUGCUGGCAUUACAGGCAUCAGCUGCCAUGCCUGGCUACAAAUCUUAAUGUUUUCCCCAUGGCUUCUUUUUCUGGCGUUCUUUUCUCAGGUAAUGGAAGUGGGCAGAGAAUGAUCCUUUCCCUAGGCUCCAGUGUGUAAGAAUUAAAGAAAGAGGAAAGAAACACAAUGGCUUGAUGGUCGAGGACAGGUUUAUUUUAAAGAAAACAAACCCAAGAGUGGCUUCUGGCUGAGUUAGAUCAGAGAAGAGAAGUGAUUUUCUUGAAAUGCAUGAGGCUGGAAAGGGAGCUGGCACUUAAAGUGGCGGUGUUUGUCCGAGAGGAUGGUGCUCCUGCUCUGUCACAGUGGGCAUGGGGAUUCAGGCCACUGCCACCGAAUUUCAAGAGCCCAAGCACAGAGCCCAGAACUAAAUUGUGAGGGUUUAAAAAAAAAAAAAGCUUUAUUGAAGUAUAAUUGACAUACAAUAAACUUGAAUAUUUAAAGUGUACAAUUUAUGCGUUUGGGCAUUUGUAUAUACCCCUGCAACCAUCAGCACACUGAAGAUAAGGAAUAUACCCAUUACCCCUGAAAAUUUCCCCAUGCCCUUUGGAGCCCCUCCCUUCAACCCCUCAAAUACUUAAUGCGCUUUUUCCCGAAAGGCAAGAAGAAAGCUUCCCUACACAUUUAUCAAGGCUGUUAUAAUCCUGACUCCCAAACAAGGUAAGGAAAUUGUUAGACACUUAGAGAACACUUUCAACUAUUGUAUUCAGAUGUUAAAAUCCUCAGUAAAAUUCCCAUAACAGUUAAUUGAACAAACCAAUUAUGCAAAAACAUACAAUCAACUAUAAUUGCACCCUAUAGACUCCCCUUUUUAUUCUCUAAUGUGUUAUAUUCCACUAAAUCUUUCUUCAUCUUGCCAGUUUUUCUUCUAAUUUCCCUGCAGCUAUAAUUUUGGCUGAUGCUAUAGUUUGAAUAUUUGACCCUCCAAACCUCAUGUUGAAAUUUAGUCCCCAGUGUUGGAGGUGGGGCCUGGUGGAAGGUGUUUGGGUCAUGGGGGUGGAUCACUCAUGAACGGCUUGGUGCUGUUCUCAUGGCAAUGAGUGAGUUCUCACAUAAUCAGUUCCCUCCAGAGCUGGUUAUUAAAGAGAGCCUGGCAUCUCCCCUCUGUCUCUCUUGCUUCCUGUCUCAUCAUGUAAUGUCUGCACACACUGGCUCCCCUUCUGCCAUGAGUGGAAACUCCUGGAAGCCCUCACCAGAAGUAGAUGCUGUUGCCAGCAGAACCACGAGUCAAAUAAACCUAUUUUUAUAAAUUACCCAGCCUCAGGUAUUCCUUUAGAGCAACACAUAUGGACUAAGACAGUGAUGUUCUCAAUUUACCCUGACAUUGCAUGCAGGCCGGCUGUUUCCUCUUAAGUUCCCGGAGUGGGAAUGUGUUCCGGACAAAGGAUGCUAGUGAGUGGCAGUC